rnacentral:rRNA from 1 species
AUUGAACGCUGGCGGCAUGCUUUACACAUGCAAGUCGAACGGUAACAGGGAGCUUGCUCCGCUGACGAGUGGCGAACGGGUGAGUAAUGCGUCGGAACGUGCCCAGUCGUGGGGGAUAACACUUCGAAAGAAGUGCUAAUACCGCAUACGUCCUGAGGGAGAAAGCGGGGGAUCGCAAGACCUCGCGCGAUUGGAGUGGCCGAUGUCAGAUUAGCUAGUUGGUGGGGUAAAGGCCUACCAAGGCAACGAUCUGUAGCUGGUCUGAGAGGAUGAUCAGCCACACUGGGACUGAGACACGGCCCAGACUCCUACGGGAGGCAGCAGUGGGGAAUUUUGGACAAUGGGGGCAACCCUGAUCCAGCCAUUCCGCGUGAGUGAAGAAGGCCUUCGGGUUGUAAAACUCUUUCGGCAGGAACGAAACGGCGAGCUCUAACAUAGCUCGCUAAUGACGGUACCUGAAGAAGAAGCACCGGCUAACUACGUGCCAGCCGCCGCAGUAAAAC